UUUAGCACGCGUUAAUUUAUAAUUAAAUAAAAAUUGUCUUUAAUCCUAAUUCAGAAGCCCAAAGAAAUAUAAGAAUAAGGUAUUUUUUUUUUCAGACCAAGAAGACUUCAUGUUAGCCCAAUCAUGUGAUCUUUUAUUCAACCAAUAUUGGCUCAAAAGCAGUACACCAGGCCAGCCCAUUUGAUAAAUUCAUCCAACCCAAUAAAUUUAGUCCAUUAAGACAUUAAGUAGAAUAUAUCCUAACCGUUGGAUUACAUCUAAUGGUUCAGAUUCACUCUUCAUUUUAAACCCUACAAACUUUUUUCUCUCCCAAAGCAGCCGCACCUAGCUUUCUUCUCCACUUCCAUCCUCAGUAAUGUUCCAAAGGUUUUCAACCCCAAUAUCAGAAGAGGUCUCACCAUUUCGGGAAAGACCUCCGAAUCUCAUGCUAAGAGGGCUCUUUGACUGAGGGCUAAAUUCGGAUUGGUUGGAGUCAUUCGGAUCUGAGACCCUGCACCCCAGUUCACUGCACCUAAAAAAGGUCCGUCUAUCAACAUUAUAUAUUUCUUUAAGUUCAUUUACUGUCAAAGCAUGAAACACUAGUUGGAUGGCAUAAAAAUUAUGUGUUAGUUUCAUUUUGCUUAGAAACGUGUCAGGAAGUUAUUUUGAUGAUAGUUUAUUAAUCAAACCAUAUCAUUGAUGUUUGUCAAGAUGUCUAAAUAGCAUUAUAAUAUUAUUCAUGUUUUGAUCAUUGAUGCUGCCUAAAUACGAGAUAAGAUUGUGUGUUCAGUAGUUUCAUUAUGAGUCAUAUCGCAGUUUGUUUUCUAACAGGAGAUUGUUAGUCUCAUCUUCAUAUCUAAGUCUAGAUAUAAUGGCUAUGGGUGACUUGUCAUAUGCUAUUAAGUAAUGUCAUACCAUCUGAGUUCUGUUGGGUUUUCUUAAACUACUAAAAGGCAUUAAAUGGACUCAUGCUAUUUCAAAACUUUGGAUGGGACUUUAAACAUGGGACAUGACAUGGAUAACUAUGUAAUCUUUGUUUUAGUAUGGUUCACAAGCUGCUAUAAUUCAAGUAGUUAUGUUAUUUUCUUUGGGUUCUGUUUGUUGGUUUCCUGAUGGAUGUUUAGAAAUCAGAUUUCUCUUUUCUAAUUCUUAUUUUGUUUUUCUCUUUUGCAUAUGCACAUGGGACAUGACAUGGAUAACUAUGUAGUCUUUGUUUUAGUGUGGUUCACAAGCUGCUAUAAUUCAAGUAGUUAUGUUGUUUUCUUUGGGUUUUUGUUUGUUGGUUUCCUGAUGGAUGUUUAGAAAUCAGAUUUCUCUUUUCUAAUUCUUAUUUUGUUUUUCUCUUUUGCAUAUGCACUUGGAGCGACAUCGAGUCUUGGUACAAGACUCACCACCGUACCCGAGCAUGGAGUCGAUAACACAAAGUUUCCCUUAAAUGCAUCAAAUCUGUCAAGAGGAACGAGCAAAAUUUCUCGGGACUUCUUUUGGCUAUCCUUCUAUUACCUGUCAUUCCAUUUUCAUUUUAUUUUAUUUUAUUGAAUUGUUUUAAAUUUAUUUGUCAAACACAAUCGCUGGUUUGUUUAUGCUUGGUGUAUCCCUGUUUUGGGAUUUAGGAUAAACUUAGUUAGCGUAGGUUUUAUUCUAUCAUUUAGACUAUCCCAAUAAUUUAUUAUUAAUAAAGUAAUAUUUUCAUCACUUAAAGAA